UAACAUUAAAACAUGAAUUACACUCUGUUUACACCCUUUAUUUAACUGGCCGUUAGUAACACCGUUUGUACAAAGGUGGGUAGACAAUACUUUUGUCACAGUUUACACCUAAUUAAUUUGUUACACUCUUUUUACAUCAAAUACUUAACUGGACGUUAAGUAACACCGUCAAGUUGGACAAUACUCCCGUGAGAAACUAACCCAAACAAAACUCUAUGAGAUUUUCUCUCAUUCUCCAAUUCACCUGAAACGAGAAGAAAAUCAACAAAGCAGCGGCUGCUGCUACUGAUUCAGACCGAGAAAUAGGCAGAGAUUGAGAGAUUAAAGAGAGAGAUUAAGAGUGAAUCAGAAAUUUUGAUUAAGAGAUUAAGAAAUCAAGUUACAGAUAAUGGUGAUGAUUCAGUUCGAGUAGGAUGGAUUUUGGGUGAAAUUUCGAGAGUAAGUCAGAUGAAUGAAGGGGGUUUUGUGCUGUUGAAAUGAAUGGUUGUCGUGUUUGUUGUUCAAAGGAAUUAGAAAACAUUUCAAAAUUACAGCGAGAUGGAACUGUGAUGCUAAUUCAAGAGAGGAUGAUGGUGUCUUUGGUCGAUAAUGGGGGCAGAAUGUGAAGGUUUAUGAAUGUUGGAUGAAUUCUGAACAUUGGGUUUGUGUUGAAUGUUAGUUCUCUGCAGGGAAGAUGAUAUAGAGAGGCUUAGAGAACACUAUCGAAGUUGUGUCUUCAUCAACAGAGUCAGUGCAUAUCAGGUGUUCGAGAAAUGGCCUGAAUGAGAUUUUCUUCACCACUCUGAGUUCUGGGAUGAAUAUUGUCCGAGUAAUGGGUGGAGAAGUGGUGCUGUUAACCGAGAAAACAGUUGGAGGAUAUGGCGUUGCAGAGUCUGGAUAAUGGGUAUUCUGAAUAGAGUUCAGCAGUUAGGGUUCUUGAAAGUGUUUAGUUAAUUUCAACAGCACCAUCUAAGGUACGACUAUCUCCUAUCUAGACUCAUUUUCACAUCUAAACUUCACACCAUGGUGGCUUGAUUCGGAUAGAGAAAAGAAAAUCAGGAAGAUAAAAUAGCCAAGGAGAUAGACUUGAUUGUUGAAAGAUGACUUGAUGAACACCCACGAAUAAGGAAACUUCGAUCACUAUUAGACCCAGCGCACAACAUUACAAACUGAUGACAGCAAAUAGGACGUAGAUUAAGUUGAGAGAAAGAUGAUCCUACUGCAUCAAAAUCCCAAACUUCAUCGAUUAUAUGCGAAGUAGUGGACUUUCACCGGUGAUCCGUAAAGCUCUAUACCUUGAAUUGUUGUCAAGGAUAUGGAUUUUGUUUUCUUCCAUUCAAGCCUUUACUGUCCAAAAUGGUAAGUCACCAUUUCAUCACACAAUUAUAAUAAGUUUUAAAUAGAAGUACAAAACUUAAGCUGAUUGAAAGCAAGACUGUGUACGGGCUUCGAUAUAUGAGUUUGGAUUAUGAAUUACAAAUAUGGUUGAACUGCGGCCAAUUGUCCAGAGGUUUGAAGUCACACAACUUUGGUGGUAAUCUCUAUUUCUCGAUAUAUCUAUUAAUUUUCUACACUAUUUUCUUAGCAUUUGUGACUUACUUAUUUCUGUUCGAUAUCUUUCUAUACUCUAUUCUCUUCUAUCUUUAUACUCUUACCAGUAUAAGGCCAGUACUCAUACUAACAAAAAUUGGAUUGCCAUUGUGUGUAUAUAACUAAAUCUCAUUGUAUAUUUGUUAUUAAGUCCGUUUUGUUGGGCAUGGCCAGGUUAAAAUUGGGUAUCCAAAUAGUAUUAAUGCGAAUUGCGAGGAUAUGUGUUAAAAUUUUCUUUGCACACUAUAAUACAUUACUUGCACCAUAAUCUCAAACUUGACGGGCUCGACGGUGGGAAAUUAAGGGUACUCUUAUUGGGUCUUAUGAUCCUACAGUAUGUUAACUCAGGGAUAUAUUAAUUGUUGAAUUAAUUUUUUUUGGCGAGGCGAACCGGAGCCACACCAAAUCAAAAAUCUUUGGCGACUGGCGUGGUGAAGCUAAGCUACACCAAAUCAAAAGUGCAUCGGGACGGGGGCGAGGUGAAGCCGAGCCACACCAAAUCAAAAAUCUUAAGGGACAAUAAGUCAAAGCUGAGCCACACCAACCAAAAGAGUUUGGACGUAGUCUAGGAACCACUACUCUACGACGUAAAAAAAGAAAUAUUUGACAAAUUUUAUUUGAAUUUAUAAACAAAACAGUGGUGUAGACUUAAAGGCCCACCACUUAGCCAUGUUAUGUUUUAUUAUGACCGAGUUGAGUAUGUUUUGUUAUGAUUGGGGUGAACAUUGUAUUAGAGAAGAAUUUGAUGAAAAAGAAUCUUAAAUCCU